UACGUAGGUGGCAAGCGUUGUCCGGAUUUACUGGGCGUAAAGAGCGCGCAGGCGGUCGUUCAAGUCGCGUGUGAAAGCCCCCGGCUCAACUGGGGAGGGUCACGCGAUACUGAUCGACUGGAAGGCAGGAGAGGGUAGUGGAAUUCCCGGUGUAGUGGUGAAAUGCGUAGAUAUCGGAAGGAACACCAGUGGCGAAAGCGGCUUCCUGGUCCAGCACCGACGUUCAGGCACGAAAGCGUGGGGAGCAAACAGG
rnacentral:rRNA from 1 species